AUCACUUGUAUAUAUUUUUGUUUAGCUUGUAAACAAAUGCUUUUACACAAGUAUAAAAAAAUCAUCUUUUGAAACCUAGAACUCAUUCUUCAACAUGAAUUUUGAUGCACCUAAGAGGAAUAUA